rnacentral:rRNA from 1 species
UACAGAGGUGGCAAGCGUUGUUCGGAAUUACUGGGCGUAAAGGGCGCGUAGGCGGUCUUGUAAGUCUUGUGUGAAAUCCCCUCGGCUUAACUGAGGAACUGCACGGGAUACUGCGAGACUUGAGAUCGGGAGAGGGAAGCGGAAUUCCGGGUGUAGCGGUGAAAUGCGGUAGAUAUCCGGAGGAACACCGGUGGCGAAGGCGGCUUCCUGGACCGACACUGACGCUGAGGCGCGAAAGCUAGGGGAGCAAACGGG